UACGUUGGGGGCGAGCGUUGUCCGGAUUUAUUGGGCGUAAAGAGCGUGUAGGCGGCCAGGUAGGUCCGUUGUGAAAACUCGAGGCUCAACCUCGAGACGUCGAUGGAAACCAUCUGGCUAGAGUCCGGAAGAGGAGAGUGGAAUUCCUGGUGUAGCGGUGAAAUGCGCAGAUAUCAGGAAGAACACCCGUGGCGAAGGCGGCUCUCUGGGACGGUACUGACGCUGAGGAGCGAAAGCGCGGGGAGCAAACAGG
rnacentral:rRNA from 1 species